rnacentral:rRNA from 1 species
GUGGGGAAUAUUGGACAAUGGGGGGAACCCUGAUCCAGCCAUGCCGCGUGUGUGAAGAAGGCCUUUUGGUUGUAAAGCACUUUAAGCGAGGAGGAGGCUACCGAGAUUAAUACUCUUGGAUAGUGGACGUUACUCGCAGAAUAAGCACCGGCUAACUCUGUGCCAGCAGCCGCGGUAAUACAGAGGGUGCAAGCGUUAAUCGGAUUUACUGGGCGUAAAGCGCGCGUAGGUGGCCAAUUAAGUCAAAUGUGAAAUCCCCGGGCUGAACUUGGGAAUUGCAUUCGAUACUGGUUGGCUAGAGUAUGGGAGAGGAUGGUAGAAUUCCGGGUGUAGCGGUGAAAUGCGUAGAGAUCUGGAGGAAUACCGAUGGCGAAGGCAGCCAUCUGGCCUAAUACUGACACUGAGGUGCGAAAGCAUGGGGAGCAAACAGGAUUAGAUACCCCGGUAGUCC